UACGGAGGGUGCAAGCAUUAAUCGGAAUUAUUGGGCGUAAAGGGCGCGUAGGCGGUUUUGUAAGUCAGGUGUGAAAUUCCGAAGCUCAACUUCGGAGCUGCAUUUGAAACUACAAGACUAGAGGAUUGGCGGAGAAAAUGGAAUUCCACGUGUAGCGGUGAAAUGCGUAGAUAUGUGGAAGAACACCGGUGGCGAAGGCGGUUUUCUAGCUUAUACCUGACGCUGAGGCGCGAGAGCAAGGGGAGCAAACAGG
rnacentral:rRNA from 1 species